AAAGCCGUAUUUUGUGGAUGCCUUAGGUUCAUAUGCACAAUGGGCGCUUUACGAUGCGAAACGUUGUAUCUGAGACAUCAUUCUGAUAGGUACAAAUCCCCACAGCGGUAAACCGCAAUAUUUUGACACGAGGAGAACUGAAACAUCUAAAUAUCCUCUAGGAAAAGAAAUCAACCGAGAUUCCGUUAGUAUUGGCGAAAGAACGCGGACAAGGCAUAUGAUUAUGAAAUUGAAAAACAUGUUGGAAUACAUAGACCAAAGAAGGUAAAAGUCCUGUAUUAUGCCUUUCAUAAUCAUCAAGAGUAGAACGUUAGACUGUUUGAAAAUAGGAGAACCACCUUCUAAGCCUACAUAUGCAUAUGAGACCGAUAGUGAACAAGUACUGUGAAGGAAAGGUGAAAAGAACCCUCUUGUAUAGGGAGUGAAAAGAUCUGAAACAAAAUACAUACAAUCAAUCGAUAUAUUAAAAAAAUGUAUCGGUGUACCUUUUGCAUAAUGGGUCAGCGACUAAAUGUGUGCAGCUUGCUUAAGCAACGAUGUGGAGGCAAAGCAAAAGCGAGUAGGUUUUCCUGCGUUUGUUGCAUGCAUUUGACCCGAAACUAAGUGAUCUCGUUUUGAGCAGGUUGAAGAAAGCGUAAAGUCUUUUGGAGGACCGAACCGACGUCUGUAGCAAUAGGCGCGGAUGACUUGAUACGAGGGGUGAAAGGCCAAUCAAACUUAGAAAUAGCUGGUUCUUCGCGAAAUUUAUUGAGGUAAAGCGUCUAUUAAAUCUUUCUGGGGGUAGAGCACUUAUUGAGCUAUGGGGGUCCAAAACCUUACUGCUCUCAAGAAAACUCCGAAUACCAGUAAAGUAUAAUAGGCAGACAGACAAGCGGUGCUAAGGUCGCUUGUCGAAAGGGAAACAGCCCAGCCUGGCCGCUAAGGUCCCAAAGCAUUCUGUGAGUGGGAAAAGAUGUGAUACAACUAUGACAACUAGGAGGUUGGCUUGGAAGCAGCCAUUCUAUCAUGAAAGCGUAAUAGCUCACUAGUCGAGUUGUGUUGCGCUGAAAAUGUAUCGGGGCUGAACAGAAUCACCGAAGCGCCAGUUUUUAAGUAGCGAAGCGUUUUGUGCGCCAAUGAACAUACAUCGUAAGAUUUGUGGAAGGUCUCAAAAGUGACUAUGCUGACAUGAGUAACGAAAAAUCAUGUAAAGCCAUGAUCGCCGUAAGUCCAAGGGUUUCUGCUAACUGGGAAUCAGUGCAGAGUUAAGUUCGGUCCCUAAGAGUUUGUAUACACUUAUACGCUCGAUGGAGGACGUUUAUGCAAGACGGCUAUUAUACACAAAUACUGCAAAUUGGAUACGGUGUAUGUGUGUUGUAGUCCAGGAAAAAAGCAUUAAUGCAAGACCGUACCCGAAACCGACACAGGUGGACGAGUCGAGUAGACUCAGGCGUUGAGUGAACCAUAUUGAAGGAACUCGGCAAAAUAAUCCCGUAACUUAGGAAGAAGGGAUACCGAAAGGUGACACAAAAAUGGGGGUGACGACUUUUUACUAAAAAAUUAGGACUCUGCAAAAUGGUAACAUGNNNNNNNNNNNNNNNNNNNNNNNNNNNNNNNNNNNNNNNNNNNNNNAUGAAAGACGUAACGAUUGCCCCACUGUCUCCAGUAUGGACUCAGUGAAAUUGAAUUCUCCGUGCAGAUGCGGAGUACGUGCCCCAAGACGAGAAGACCCUGUGCAUCUUUACUGUACAUUUGCAUUGACAAAACGAUGAGCAUGCGUAGGAUAGGUGGGAGUACAUACAUCCUUGAAAUACCACCCUUGCCAUGGGUUUUGUCUUACACCAAAUUUGGUGCACAAUGCAUGUGAGGCAGUUUGACUGGGGCGGUCGCCUCCUAAAAGGUAACGGAGGCGUGCGAAGGUAAACUCAAUGCAAGACGGAAACUUGCUGAAGAGCGUAAUGGUAUAUGUUUGCCUGACUGUAAGAUGUACACAUCAAACAGAGACGAAAGUCGGCCAUAAUGAUCCACAAGUGCCGUGUGGAAGGGCUUGUGCUUAACGAAUCAAAGAUACGCCAGGGAUAACAGGCUGAUAAUUCCCAAGAGUCCUUAUCGACGGAAUUGUUUGGCACCUCGAUGUUGACUGAUCAUAUCCUGGGGCUGAAGAAGGUCCCAAGGGUUCGGCUGUUCGCCGAAUAAAAUGGUACCUGAGUUGAGUUUAGAACGUCGUGAGACAGUUUGGAUUCUACCUGGGGUGCGCGUAAAAGAAUUGUGAAAACCACGUCCUUGUACGAGAGGACCGGACGUGUACAACCACUGGUCGAGUAAUUGUUUUGCCGAAAGCAUUGUUACCAGGCUACGUUGUGAAAGGAAAAGAACUGAAAGCAUCUCAAGUUCGAAACUUUUUUCGAGACAAAUUCUUUAAGAUGUCGUGAAAGACUAUCACGUUAAUAGCCGAGCUGUCUAUACCAUGAAAAUGAGUAAUGCAUGCUCGGACUAAUCUUUUUUAUUUAAUAAA
rnacentral:rRNA from 1 species